AGAGUUUGAUCCUGGCUCAGGAUGAACGCUGGCGGCGUGCCUAAUACAUGCAAGUCGAGCGAACCACUUCGGUGGGAAGCGGCGAACGGGUGAGUAACACGUAGGUGAUCUGCCCAUCAGACGGGGACAACGAUUGGAAACGAUCGCUAAUACCGGAUAGGACGAAAGUUUAAAGAUGCUCCUGGCAUCACUGAUGGAUGAGCCUGCGGCGCAUUAGCUAGUUGGUGGGGUAAAGGCCUACCAAGGCGACGAUGCGUAGCCGACCUGAGAGGGUGAACGGCCACACUGGGACUGAGACACGGCCCAGACUCCUACGGGAGGCAGCAGUAGGGAAUCUUCGGCAAUGGGCGAAAGCCUGACCGAGCGACGCCGCGUGAAUGAAGAAGGCCUUCGGGUUGUAAAAUUCUGUUAUAAGGGAAGAAAGGUGAUAGGAGGAAAUGACUAUCAAUUGACGGUACCUUAUGAGAAAGCCACGGCUAACUACGUG
rnacentral:rRNA from 1 species